rnacentral:snoRNA from 1 species
CCCGCCAUUACGCCCGUCUGCGCCCGUGACGGGGCGUGCUCCAGUGGGGGCUGAGAGAGACCCAGCUCUAGGAAGCAGGGCCGCGCCUGGUCUGUGGGCGGCUCUGUGCCGAAAGGCCUGGGACAAAU